CGGGAUGUGGUGUAACGGCUAACAUGCACGUUUCGGGUACGUGUGACUGCGGGUUCGAAUCCCGCCAUCCCGA
rnacentral:tRNA from 1 species